UCUUGUGUUGAUACAUGUUUCUCUAUGCACCACUAUGAGUGUGAGUUCUUGGUAAAGACGGCAAAGUCAGUUCAAGUAUUUUCUGCCCUCUUCUAUUUUAAUACUUGGAAAAGCUUUUCCAAAUUUCUAUUUCUAUUCUGCCUGCCCUCUCCACCCCCUUUUCCUUGCUGGAGAGGAAAAGACUGCAAUGGAAGAGGUUUUUCUGUUUUGUUUUUUACCCUGGUAACUUCAGCAAUCUCGCCAAGAGUGCAGCGCCUCAGACAGUCGGGCUGGUACAGUGAAGAAAUCCUAAAGCUGGAGCUAGACCAAGCGGCGAGGGAACUUCUUGACCCAGAUUUGCUGCCAGAGAAGUGUUUGUGUAACUAUACGGUUAACAUAGUGUUUAUGCCCAUGUUGUACAAGACUUAUUAGAUAGCUGACAGGUAUUAAAGUGAGCUGCUUAAAAGGUUAGGGAUUGGGCAUGCUUCCCAAAACCAGAGAUAGGGCUAUUCCGGGAACUUGCUAGAAGGACAGACUCUACCUCUAAUGGGUAUAUCCACCUAUUAAAAAGUGGCUGUGUACAUUUAUGUGGGUUUGGGUUAUUCCUGUAGCUCAGAUGGAGGAUCCCUAGGUACAGCUUAGCACUAUCCAAGAUUGAUGAAAUGGGUGUGACUGUAACUCCGUUAAUUUUCACUGGCAUUAACAGCCCUCUGGGAGUGACCCCGGAGCAGGACACUGCUGGCGUGCAAGGUGUCUGUCUUGUUCUGGUGUUUCUCAUAUGCUGGUGACAGGCUGGAUAGGAUGACUUAGAUUUGGCUCUGAAAAUUUAAAGAGAGACUUUCAACAUGUUUGCACCUGAUGUUAUUGGAAGAUCCCAGUGGAAGACAGACCUGAGCACAGUUUAAGAUGACUUUCUCCAUAGAGGAAGUUACAAUUGAUCGGGUUUCUUUUCACAGCUGUGCAGCUGUGAUUAGGCAGUGCUUUUAGGCAGUUGGGUACAGCAGGCCUUGAGCACAGCGUCUGUAGAUGUUUUCUUGUGUAGUACAGCUCCUGGGGUGGUGGUUUCAUGGCAGCACACACUGACCCAUGUUAGUGCUGGUGUGGCUCUGCCCUGGGAGGGUGUAACACAGUCCUUGAAAGCCAGAGCAUAAUUCUGUCUUUGACAGCCGGCAUGGCCAUAUGGUCUUCUCGUACAUCUCCACUUCUUUCCUCUUCAGUCAUACAAACUAGGUAAAUACAUAGAAGUAAGGACAGUUUAUAGGAACCUGGCUUAAACCAGAGAUAAAGGACUGAGUGGGACCACUCAGACCACGGAGCCUUGUCCCUACACUUGGAGGCGGGUGGACCUUAGAUGCUUGGUGGGAUGUCACAAGCCCACGCUGGUGUGUGAGAGGAGAGCAAGAUUUACACUGUGCUUCAGCCAUGUCCCACUUCAGCACAACGGGAAAGACUUCACUAGAUGAAAAUGCCUGGAUGGUCUCUAGUAAGUGUGCCAUGCAUAAGACUAUAAAGGAAGGCAAAAAGAGACAGCUAAAACUGUCUCUGCCAGUCUUGCUGUGGGAGCAGAAAACGUCCUUCGUAUUUUCAACGGAGAACACGUUACAUAAUUAAAAUACUGAAUAUUUGGCAAAUUUUGAAAAAUACAGUUUAGUGAGGAGUAAUCAGUGAAGGAGGAUACUCUUAGAGGGAGGCUGUGCAGAGGUCAACACUGAAUUCACUACCAUUUAUCAUAUUCAGCGGUGAAUGUUAAAUUCCUGCUCCUAACAUUUACAAGUGUAUUGGAGAGGUGCUCUGCCAAAGACUGAAGAAGGGGCAGUCCUUCAGAGAGAUCAGGAAUACUAAGCAACUAGAGUCCAUUUAAAGGACGUGCAUUUUAAUACGAGAAGCAACCAAAUGAUGUGUCUGGAAACAUAGAACAACAUAAACAGAAUAGGGGGGAAAGGAAAGCAGUGGCUCUAAAAAAGAGAUUAGAAGGGGCAUUCGAUCAGUGUGAGGGGCCCUACAAUGGCAGGAAAGUUAGCAUGCACCUUGGACAUAUGGAAGCAGCAAGGUAGUUUUCUGAAUACAACAGUCAGAACCUGAAAAUUGUUUCCAUUUCAUGUUUUUUAAAAGGAUACUAAAAAGUGUAGAGUAUGAGGAAGAAAGCAAUGCUAAUUACUUAGGGGGAAGAGAAAAAGCUGUAUAAUGAGACACUUGCAGAUCAAGUUGUUCUUUAUACUAGAGCAGACUGAGAAGUGACUUGAUUAGUGUAUAAAUGCUCCGUGGUAAGAACAAAUGGAUAUUAAAGACCUUAAUUUAGCAGAGAAAAACACAACAAGAGCUAAUAGCUGGAAACUCAAUGCAACAAGCUCAAAUUAAGUAUUAGGCGGGCAUUUUUUAUUAUUAUAUUUAUUUAGCUGUUAUUAACCACUGGGGAAGUGAACACAAAUCAACAAAGGCAAGGAUGGGACAUCUUCAAAUUAAGAGCAGCUGUAUUUGGGGGUGAUAGUCUUUAGCCAACUGUGAGCUAGUCUGCUUAAUACAGGUGAAAUAGAAAUACAGGCUACAGCCAAAGAUUCUUUCUGUUGAAAAGUUUAGUUUAAGAAUUGUGCUAUAUUUAAAAUAAUGUAAGCAGUGGGGAAAAUUCUUUUACUUCUUUGGUAAUGUUCUGAAACACAUUACCUGCACCUCUUUUUCAGGUGCACAGCUACAUCUAGUUACAAAUUAUUCUCAUCUGAGUGUGUGUGUGGGGGGCGGUUCUUAUUAAUGUUAAGAGAACUGUUAUCAGGCUUUCUUAUGACCACAUGUAGUACACUGACCACCCUCUGAGCCAAACUCUUCCUAGUUCAGUAGUGUAUGGAAGAGGAUCACAGUCCACCUCCUUUUGUGGCUGUAUUUUACAAGGUAAUGAAAGUAAAUGCAGAAGAUGCCAGAAAAAAAGAAAGGUGUUAGUUUUUUUGUAACAUAUAAGAAAAGAAAUCCAGAGAGACUCAUUCCUCAGAAUCUGAGAGAUGCAGAAUUGCUAAGGACUCAGAGCUGCACAAAAGCUGUUUCACGUCUCUGUUUCUUAAAAGUAGCAUAAACAUCAGUUCUUCUAUGUGAAAGUCAGGGGACUACAGGCUUAGUUACUGUGGGGUAACUGUCCAACUUUUGUGCCCAGAGGCAAAAUUAUGUGGUAGUGGAUAAGUAGAGUUGCACCUGGUCUUAGGAUGGGUAAAAUUUAAAGCCUGGUAAAGUAUAAUGAAAUAAAGCUCAGUUACUCAGCCUUCUUGCUCUCCUUUAAGUGCUGUAGUCUGCAAUGCAUUAAUUAUUUUUCUGUCUUUACAUUAGCAGGCCCAGUUCUCCAUCAUAUCCAUCACUUUGACUUGAACAGUCUUGGUUUUUUUGUUUUCCUCUGGUUCUAGCUACAGUUUAAGCAUCUGUUUGGACAGCUUCAGAUCUCCAGUAGUUAAACAUCCUGUGACUUGUCUUCAGCUGUCACAUUUCAGGUCCUUCCAAAAGACACACAUCAUGUGCUACUUAAAACUUUUGUUUAGCUUGUUAGUUAUUUAAGUGUAGCUUAAUGGUAUGCCAGAUGCUCUCCAGUCAGAGAAAUGCUUUGCUUGCACUCCCCCAUCUGUGUGUGACUCUCUCCUUUUAAAUCUGCUUUCUGCAGCAGACUUUCUGAGACAGAUCAAAUUGCUUCAAGGCCCUGAAGAACUCAUGAUUCAACAUCCCUUUUUGUCCAGUUUACACAGCUUAAUUGCCACUUUGCACACUGCUCCCAGCCUCAGCCCAAAAGACAUGCAGUAAGGCAAGUAAUGUGGCACAUUGGCGGGGCCACUGAGAACAGGUUGCUACAUCAAGAUCCUUGGAGACACUUAGGAGCUUUGGGGAAGAUGGAUGAAAUACAGCUGCGAAGCACCCUCUUGCAACGGAGAGUCUCUUAGCUUUCAAGUAUAUGGAUAGUAUCAGCUGUCAUAGAUAUUGAUUUCACUGAACAUUUCUUUGCCCUUGGCAACAUCGCCAUUGUGGUACACUAAAUAUGCUAUUUGCGAAGCAUCCUUUUCCUUCAGCCCUUAACCAGUGCUUUCUCCAUGUGCUUUCCCAACCAGAGAGAAAAAUCUUGUCUUUGUAGAUUGAUCUACUUAAGGAAACGCAGUGCUGCUUCUUGCUUAUUAAGAUUCAGAUCUCUUCUAGAUUGCUGGCUUAAGCUCAUCUCUUCUGUGUAAAUUUCUGGGGGAGCGAGUGAGAAAAAGGAAUGGGAGACAGAAAGGAUAUUUUAGGCAGCUGUUCAGCAACCUGUGAAAUAAUCCGAGGUCUUAACCCCACACAUGUCCAUGUCACAUACUCCCCAUCACUAUUUAUAACCUUUUUGGCUUUACAAGCAAACAGGGCAGGAAUGUGCAUGGAGAUGAAGCCAGCUAUUUUCCCAUGCCUAGAUGUGGUACUCCAGUUGAUGGGCAGAGAUACUGGGAAAGAAUGUUGUGAAAGCUGGGCGUAGGGAGCUGGUGCUCUCAGGGCCCCACACUACACCUGAUUUUUGAAGGGAAGGUGGGAAAAGGACUCUCAGACUCCAGGUCAGUUACUGUAGAGCCUUUCACGAGAACUGUAACUGAUUCUGAAAAUUCUCCUUUUCAAAAACCUUCAGAGAGACUUUUUUUUUUCAUUAUACACAACAAUAAAAUGAAUGUAAAGAGAGUUCAUAUGUGGGAUAUUUCGCAUUAAAUUUUAAAGUUAAAGCAGUGCCAGGCUGUGUGUGAAAGUAAUUUCAUUAAUUUUAUUCAGUAGAUGAUUCUAUCAGAUACAGCUUUUAUAUCUGCACCAAGUUUAGUGAACUGUAAACGUAAGUGGUAAAUUGGUGAUGUAGUACCUUUUAAAUUAUGAAAAAACGAACAUUAGUUGUAAUACCUGGUACAAAUCUGCUUACUGUAGGUAGCUGCCAUUUUCAACUAGGUGAGUCUUUAAGCUGAACAGUUGAUUGCAUUUUAUUCACAGGGAAAUUUGAUCCAUAUUUGCCAAUGCAUUUAGCUAUUUACAGGAUGUAUUGCUGAUGGAAAAUGUCGUCACCUGUGUGACCUGAAUCAGGAAGUAUAACAUUGGUAGGUAGGAUACGUUAUUUUUUUGAUAGCUAUUUCCUGUGUAAUGCACCUUUAUUUUUUCUCUACGAGGGCUCUCAUUUAGAAACCCAGAGUCCACUGCCCACCCUGACAGAGUGCUGUUCCUUGACUUCUUUGGCCUAUCUCUCAAAAGAAGGAUGCUAUAACUAAAAACAGGGCAGACACCUCGGUUACUCCAGACUCACAGAGUCUUUAAAAGGUGGAGAAGGUCAGUUCAUCAGGGUGUAAAUCCAGAGGAUGCUAUUCCAGGAGGACUGGUACAGGCUGAAGUCUGUAAGAAGGCCAGGUAAGACUUGUGUGGUGGUGUGCCAAGUCUUGUGUGUAGCAGUCCCAUCUGUGGCUGUGGUGUGUUACAAGCAAGAGGAAAGCUCAGAGAGGAGGGUGGGAACAAAAACGCACUCAUCUCUAAUAAAACGGCUUUUAAGCCCUCCUCUCACUCCCUCCUCAGAUGAAGGUAUGUGCGUCAAGGAGAAUUGAUACUGAGUUUUGAAUGAUUCUGCAUUAAAUUUUACUUCCCUGUUUCUUGCAACUAGCUCCUAGUUACUUAAAUGCUCUACGGAAGAGUGCACUAUGGAAACCAGCUACAUUAGGUGGUUUGUAACACAUGGCUUAGAUAAAAAUGGUGCUUGUUCCAGAUUAGCCCAUGUGAAAAAAAAGUUCCUCCUCUAGGUAAGAAAGUCACCUUCCUCAACGGAAAUGAAGUCCUUUUGUUCUCACGAGUUGUCUAAGUCUUGCUUGGAGAAGACCGACUGUCCCUGAGUGUUGGAGAGUGCCACUGCAAUCUUCCGUGACUGACACUCCUGCCUCUCUGCCAGGAUACAAGACCACAGAUCGCCAUGAUGCUGUUCUGUCAGAUUCUCAUAGCCUUCUGAGGUGUUAAGUAUACACGAGGUCAUUUUACCCUGCAUAAUGCCAGAUCAGAGCUCCUACCUGCCUUAACCUUGGGACUUCUGUGUGUAGAUUGAAGCAUCUUGUCUUUUUUUUGGUGCCCGGCUUGCUCUGUGGAAGAACAGAACUUAGCGUUUGUACUGAAGCUGCUGACUGGCAAGUCAGGCUCGGGAAGAAGCUCUUAGAAGUGGAGUCCUGACCUACCAUUUAAAAUAUCAACACAUGACUGUGACUGUGAAAACAGCUGUGUAAAUUCCUGUUGCUGGAAGCUUCAUCCCUGGGCAAACUGACAUAGACUGGGGAGAAAAAGAGGGUCGAAGAGCUUAGGAGAAGCAAACCCCAAAGUUUUAGUGCGUUUACAGAUGCAAUCUGAGGUCCUGUUCUUGCAGCCACAGUACUAGAUAAGACCUUGAUGAUUGUUUUAGGUUUUAUAUUGCUCCCUGUUCUGGAAGCGCACAGUUCUUUUAUUGAAGAUGAAUGAUACUAGAAAGGGUUUUCUGAAAGGGGUAACAGCAUCUGCUGAUGUUAACUGAAUCUCUUCCCCUUAGGACAGUGAGGUUGGGGGGGGUGGGUGUUAGUGAUCGCAGCUUGACAUUAAAACCCAGUUGUGUGCCUGUGCAAUCACUUUAAUCUCCAGGCUUGGUUUGGCACAGGUUCCCACUCUCUGUCUGUGCUAGGGAGGCAGUGAAUCCCAGCAAGGGGGAAAGAAAAAUGCUGGACAUUGAAAUCUGCUCAGCCACCACAUUUGCCCAGCCCUGCGUACUGGAGCCACUGGUGUAGAGGCGGUGGGCCCGCUUUCCAGGGCUGUUCCUCUUCUCUCCUCUGCACAUGCUCUCCACAGUCACCCGCCAUCCAGGAGAUAGGAGAGGGAGGCGUUUUUCUUGUGAGAAAGUAGAGUAAUGCAAUACAUUCAGCUGAGUCUGAUCACUCACCACUGAGGGAGUAUAUUUUUCUCAGAGCUGUCAGCAGAAAGCAAGAGUGUUACAUUCGGUUUACAGGCAGUAGGCCUGUAGUCUCAAUUAUCCAACAUUUUUGGUGGAUUUGUGCCAAAUUUGUGCAUCUCGGUUCGCACGGGCGUGACCAACCUUCCUAUCUAUGCUACCCUGUGAUUUUGACUCUUGUUUUGCCUUAAAAUUUGAGUUCGUUUUAGGCCAUCAUGCGCAAGAAAGACGACAGCUGCAUCAGUGUCUGUCAUUAAAGUCUGAGAAGUUGAAUGGUUUGUUGAUGUCAGCAGGGUUGUUUUCUAUUUUUCAACAAUGUGAAAGAAAAGUCAGAUCAAUUAUGCAUUUCACUCCUACACUACUAAUGGAUGGACAGACAAGGGUUUUUUUCAGCUGACAUCUAGUGUUCUAAGUAAAGAGAUUAUUCCCCUCAGUUUGCUUCCUUCAUGUAAUGAAUGAUAAGUAGAUGAAUCAGUGAGGUAAAAUGUGUGACAGAUAACAAAUAAGUUACAAACUUUGUUAUUUUGAGUGGAUGUCCUGACACGGGGAAGUAGGCACAUGCUGGUGUGCAGUGUUGCAGUCAGUUCUGAUUGUACCUUGAUAUUUAAAUAAUUUGCACUUCCAACUGAUUUCCUAGAUGUUCCUAGGAUUGUAGGAUCUUUUCAGGGCCCCAAAAUCCUUGGAUAACGCUUCUCAAUGAGCUUUAAAACUAAAUUUAACAUAUUUAAUUUUUUCAAGGAAUAAGACUUUAUUACAAAUUCUAAUAUUUGUAGUUAACUCCUAAACUCCCAAGCAGUGCUUUGGCUUGCAGGGAACUGCUCUCAGGUGGCACAGAGGACAGGCAAGUGUCGUGCAAACCAGCCUCUCGGUCACUGACUGUAAUAUCAAGGCAACAGCAGAGGUGAGUCUUUGUUUCAUUGCAAAUUAAUAUUGCGCUCGUAUUAAUAAAGCACCUGGCCUUUUAUUUACACCACGAGUGGUGGGGAGGAAAGGUAACAAUUUUUUUUUCCUUGUGUAGUCCAUGAGCUCAUGAUGUUCUGUGAUAUGGAUUCAUAGUCACAGAUUAGCAAAGCCCUAUUUAUUUGCCUGUUUUUAAAUGGCACCUUCUCAAAGCUCUAGCAGGUGCAUUCUGACUAGUGCUAGAUCUUCUCUUCCAUUUUCUUGUUCUCUUAAAUUGUUCUCUGAUAGGAUGGUCAACAACUCUGGCAACUAGUCCCUCCAUUGACUCUUUAGGGACAUAUAAAAUAAUAAUAAAAAGCAUAGUAAUAUCAUAAAAAAUUAUAACUUUAUAUGCAGUAUAUCUUUUUUUUACUAACCUGAAAAAGAAUGUAAUAACAGCUUAUAGUCACAGGAUGUAAUUUUUUAUUUCAGUUUAUGGAUUUCAAAGCAAUCUUUUUUUUUAAAAAAAAGGGUAAAUAGUGUCCAUCAGUAACUGCUGUCUUUAAAAAGAAAUAUUUGCCUGAUAGCAAAACACAGUGCUAAACAUUUUUAAGUUUCCAAUUUGUCUGUGCUGGCCAGGUAAUAUUAAAGCCAGCUUCCUGUAUUCAUAAGAUUUAAUUUAAUACAUCCAUUGCUUCUGGUGUUCACUUUCUGUGAAUAACUCCUGAAGGAUACAAAGAAUUGACACAGCAAAAAUAAUACUUGCAGCAAAGGACAGACUUAGAGCAUCUAACAAAUUUAAAUGGGGAAGUGUCUCCCACUGGUAGCUCUAAUGCUUUGAGUUCUGGAAAUAUUAUCAAGGCUGGCUCAAAGCUUUAUUUUAUUGCAACUGUGUCACAAUGUGUUAUGAGAUAUUUGUGUUAUUUUUCACGUGGUAAAUUGGAACUGUCCUAUGUAUGAAAGGAUACUGUCCAUCAAAACGAAAUUUCUGGAAUUAUUAUAUAUUAUUCUCUUAUUUUCUGUUUGUAUUUUAUUUAUAAAUGUUCACUUGUUUUGAAGGAUCAAGAAUACAGAGAAAGUUCAUGAGGGCUAUAGUGAAGCUAUUAAUGCUGUUAAUGAAGUUAUAUAGAAUAAUUUUUUAUUACUGAUUAGCUGAAAAAAAGUACUAAGAGGAAAAAUAAGUACCAGUGUUCUGAAAAAAUGCGCAGAGCUUACAAGCUGACUAUUUUUGCAGUGCCACUAGACUUCUGAAUUUAUUUUUAAUAUCCUACCUGUUUUCAUCAUUCUUGUUCCUAUUAGGUCAGUAAAGAGGGGAACAUCCAGCCUGACAAGCCGGUCCUACUGGUAAAGUACCUGGGAGCAGUGGUUCUUCACAUCAUAGCUGUCUUUGGUAUUGAGAAGGGGUGGUAUUCUCAGGUUGUGGUCCAUAUCUUUGGUACCUUGUCUUCAGCUAGCGUUGCCUUAGAAUAUUUAAGAUAGGCUUUGGUUUUUUUGCUGAGUCCAACCAAGGGGGACCCUGAAGGAGUUCUUCCUUACAUACAGGUUUCUUAGGUUAGAUUGAAUUUCCUUAACAUCAAAUGCCUUUUAGGCUGCCCCAAGGCUUCCAAGACAAUCACAAGACAUUGCCUGCUGUGACACAGAGCCUAGAGAAGCCCCUUGCUUUCCUGGAUCAGCAGGUGGAGCAGCCACAGGGUACGCUAUCUAUACUCUGUGUUUAGAAGACAGCUCUCCUUUCCAUUUAAGUGCAGUCUGUUGGACAGUGCUCUCUAGGAUGACAGUGCUAUCACUCGUUUUCUUUAAUAUGAAGCUGCCCACAGACAGCAAAUUGUUACCAGAAUCUUCUGGUGCACUUAGGGGAAGGGGUGGGGGGUGGGGGGGUGAAGCGAGAUGUUUAGACACAGUCCACUCUUCAUAUUGAUUAUUUAUGGUUCUACUGCUACAUGUUGAUCCACUUUGUUGUGUAGUUGAAUAGGGUCUCAUCAUGUCUCAUAUUUUAUUUAACUUGGUGUGCUUUACUUACUGUGUUCUUUUAACCUGCUAACUUCAGAAAUAUUUAUAAAGGAGAUGUGGUUGUGUUGUUUUAGCAACAGUAUUCUAAAGAUGAGGUAAAAACAGAUGUGCACAUUGAGACACUGUCUUUUAUUUAAUCAGCUGGCAUAAUUGGGAAAGGUAGACAAAUUUUCAGGCACACCAGCCUUCCUCAGGUCUGAAACAGAAUUAGCAGACUUCAGAGCUAAACACAAAAUGAAAACAAUUGCUCAGGUAUGUACCGGGUAAACUACCUGUAAAAGAAAAGGCAGUUAGUAUGUGUAGAGUGGAGAAAGUUGGUAAGGCAGUUAUCUCUCUAAGUGAAAGAAAGAAGCAAUAAUUUAUAGCCUGUGGAACAUGGAAAGGUUAGUGGAGGGGAAAGGAAAUGAUAUUGUGCCAUGAAAUCAAUAUCUCUACUGAAUCCAUGCUCUUUAGUGACCAGCAAGUUUAAAAUGUUAGCUCCAGGCUUGUCUUUGGAAUGCAUUUUGGAGAUCUUCUUUAAAGAUCAGGACUGAGAGAUCAGA